UACGUAGGUGGCAAGCGUUAUCCGGAUUUACUGGGUGUAAAGGGCGUGUAGGCGGGACUGCAAGUCAGAUGUGAAAACCACGGGCUCAACCUGUGGCCUGCAUUUGAAACUGUAGUUCUUGAGUACUGGAGAGGCAGACGGAAUUCCUAGUGUAGCGGUGAAAUGCGUAGAUAUUAGGAGGAACACCAGUGGCGAAGGCGGUCUGCUGGACAGCAACUGACGCUGAGGCUCGAAAGCGUGGGGAGCAAACAGG
rnacentral:rRNA from 1 species